rnacentral:lncRNA from 1 species
GUGAAAAUCUAUUUACUGAAAACCCUAAACCCUACUUUCCAUUCCACUCUCCCCCACGCCCAAAAUAUCCAGUUUCAUUACAAAAACUCCGUGCCCUCGAUCCACUCCCAUUCUCCAUCCAUAUUUUCUUGUCAGCAAUGGCUACGAAAUGCAGCCGAAUCAUCAACAAAGCUUCCAUUUCAACUCUUAGAUCCAUCUUGAAGAAAUCAAAUUCUCCUUCUUGUCUUCCCAGAACCUACACGUCGUCGUUUGCUAAACCAUCUCUGCCUUCAAAACCCGCCCCUUCAAUCUGGAGGUACUUAACCCUAUAGUGAAGAUUACGAUAUUGUUAUUUUGUUCUGUGAUUGAUUUUAUUUUAUGUAUGGAUUCUUGUUAGGUGUCCGGCAGAGCUGGGCUGCGUGGCGUCAAUGCUGCCGCUGCAUAGCGUGGUUGCUACGGCUAGGAUGACGUCAUGCCUGAGCUCAUCAUCGAGGAGUUGCAGGGCUCUUUCUCAGGGUACACUUUGCUGCACUUCUCCAGAUCUCUAGUAUGUGCCUUUAUGAUGUUAGUUGUGAAUUUUUCGCAUCAAGUUCUGUUACUAUUUAGUUUGUGGGCAGUGUUAAGGUUAAACUGCUGAAGAUAAAAUUGUAUUUGAAAUUAUAUAAAUCAUUUUUGGGAAGCUCGAGGAUAAUCAAGUGGUUUAUCUCAAAGAAACCAAAAUAUUGCCCUUAAAUUAUACUUGAAAAUCCCUUUAUUUUUUUUUUUGUAGAAUAAUUCCGUGUCAUCAGUAGGAGACCUGUUAUGUUGCUACUUACUGCUACUGCCAUGUAUCUGCUUUGUAUUCUCAUGCAUGACCUCUGAUUUCCUUAUACGUUGUACCUGAUAAAUUGUUCUGCCUGAGAUUUAAUCUACACAUAAUUCCAAGUAAGUCUAUGUUUAUAUGAUUCAUGGAAAGCCUAGCUUAAUCAUGAGAGUCACUGAUUGCACUUUUCAUUUCCUAGGUUUUUCAAUACUACCUCAACAGACACAUACUUUUUGUGAGUUUGGAAUGUGUGUUUAGGCGGAGAAAAGAGAGAUUACCGAUUUUAAGAUGACAAGAAUUAACUUGCAAUCUUCUAAAAUCAUUACUGUUAACCAAUGCAG